rnacentral:rRNA from 1 species
CUACGUGCCAGCAGCCGCGGUAAUACGGAGGGUGCGAGCGUUAAUCGGAAUAACUGGGCGUAAAGGGCACGCAGGCGGUGACUUAAGUGAGGUGUGAAAGCCCCGGGCUUAACCUGGGAAUUGCAUUUCAUACUGGGUCGCUAGAGUACUUUAGGGAGGGGUAGAAUUCCACGUGUAGCGGUGAAAUGCGUAGAGAUGUGGAGGAAUACCGAAGGCGAAGGCAGCCCCUUGGGAAUGUACUGACGCUCAUGUGCGAAAGCGUGGGGAGCAAACAGGAUUAGAUACCCUGGUAGUCCACGCUGUAAACGAUGUCGAUUUGGGGGUUGAACUUUAAGUUUGGCGCCCGUAGCUAACGUGAUAAAUCGACCGCCUGGGGAGUACGGCCGCAAGGUUAAAACUCAAAUGAAUUGACGGGGGCCCGCACAAGCGGUGGAGCAUGUGGUUUAAUUCGACGCAACGCGAAGAACCUUACCAAGCCUUGACAU